rnacentral:lncRNA from 1 species
AUGUUUCUUCUUCCUGCUUUGGCCAAUACGGGGAGAAGAGACUCAGUUAACUGGGACAGCGUUACCCAGGGUUGUGAGAACAACUUAAUGAUUUUUGAGAACUGGUCAACUCGUGAGCCUGAGACCUGGGAUCCUCCAUCCCAGGGUGGAACUUUACUGCAGCAUAUGGAUGCCACAGCAACAAAAGAGAACUGUAUAAUGGACUGUGAGUUUGCUGAGUUUCUUGGUUUACAGAAAAGCACAAAUAACUCUAACAGCAAGUGACAUAUUUGGGAGAUUACAGCUGGACUUUGGACCUUAAGGACUGCCAGGAAAGAAGCCAUCUGCCAAACCCCUGAGCCACAAACUGUGAAGGAACUCCAUACGUUCCCAGGAAUGACAGGAUGAUGCUGACUGUGGAUACACAGCUAUGGACUGAUCGUAAAGCUCCAAACAACUUGAUAAAGUGAGUAAGGGAUGGCCAGGGUGCCUGAGGGCGGUGGCUGCACUGGUGCUCAAUAUUCUAGAAGCCUGUAAAUCUACAUUGGGCCAAAAGAUACCAGUUUUAAUAUCUCAUACAGUGUUUAUUGUAUUGGAGGCAAAAGGGGGACAUUGGAUCUCACCCCAAAGAUUCCCAAAAAUACCAGGCCAUCCUGAUAGAGCAGGAUGAUGUAGAAAUAAUUGUAACUAAUAUUGUCAACCCAGUAUCUUUCCUUAGUGGAACUCCUGGAGAACCAGUAUCUCCUGACUGCUUUGAAACAACUGACGCUGCACAUUGCAGCCGGUCAGUUGAACCUGAAGAACAAGCCCUUAGAAGAUGAAAAAGAUGCCUGCUUUACCAACAGCUACAAGGGGACUGUAAGGCAGGUUAUGCAAUAACUGCUACUGACCAGGACCCAGGGACUAUUCUUCCAGUUCACCCAUUCCAAGCCGGGGACUGGAUCCUGAUCCAGACGGAGAAGGAGACAAAGCUGCAGCCUGACUGGGAAGGACCAUUCCAAGUACUUCUAAUGACUGAAACAUCUAUGAGGACAGACGAGAAAGGAUGGACUCACUACACACUGGUAAAGGCAUCCAUUAGCCUUGAAGCGUGGGAACUGUUGCCACAGAAAAACCUUUAAAAGAUAAGAAUUAGAAGGAAAUCAUGAAAAGUUUUUUUAUAUAUUUUUUUUAUUUUUUAUUAUUAUUUUAAAUAACCUUUAACUUCUCCUCAAAUAGGUAAAUAAAUUGUGUAUUUAAGUGGGAGAAUAUUAUAAC